AGCGAACGCUGGCGGCAGGCCUAACACGUGCAAGUCGAACGGACUCUUCGGAGUUAGUGGCGGACGGGUGAGUAACACGUGGGAACGUGCCUUUUGGUUCGGAAUAACUCAGGGAAACUUGUGCUAAUACCGAAUGUGCCCUUCGGGGGAAAGAUUUAUCGCCAUUAGAGCGGCCCGCGUCUGAUUAGCUAGUUGGUGAGGUAACGGCUCACCAAGGCGACGAUCAGUAGCUGGUCUGAGAGGAUGACCAGCCACACUGGGACUGAGACACGGCCCAGACUCCUACGGGAGGCAGCAGUGGGGAAUCUUGCGCAAUGGGCGAAAGCCUGACGCAGCCAUGCCGCGUGAAUGAUGAAGGUCUUAGGAUUGUAAAAUUCUUUCACCGGGGACGAUAAUGACGGUACCCGGAGAAGAAGCCCCGGCUAACUUCGUG
rnacentral:rRNA from 1 species